UCUGGUAAUGAUGGCAGAGACGUCGCACCCGUUCCCCUCCCCAACACGGAAGUUAAGCUCUCUAGCGCCGAUGGUAGUUGGGACCUUGUCCCUGUGAGAGUAGGACGUCGCCAAGC
rnacentral:rRNA from 1 species